GUACACAUCUCUGAAUAUUUACGAAAGGAGAUAAGAGAAUUAAAAGAGCAUGCUAUGGGCGAAGAAGCGGUUAAAGUUGAAGAAGCAAUGAAACAGAGACGUAUUAUACAACAGGAAUUAGAGGAAAAACUGAAAAAGACUGAAGAAGACCUUCAGCUAUUGCGUGAUCUCGGGCCAACAUCGGCAAAAAGUGAAGAAUCAACGCAUUCUAUAGGUGUUUUGUAUUAGUCCAGUGAAAUCGUGUAAAAUACUUCAGAAGAAAUGAGCAUAAGA
rnacentral:lncRNA from 1 species